rnacentral:rRNA from 1 species
CACGUAGGGGGCGAGCGUUGUCCGGAUUUAUUGGGCGUAAAGAGCUCGUAGGCGGCUCAGUAAGUCAGGUGUGAAAACUCCAGGCUCAACCUGGAGACGCCACUUGAUACUGCUGUGGCUAGAGUCCGGUAGGGGAGCAUGGAAUUCCUGGUGUAGCGGUGAAAUGCGCAGAUAUCAGGAGGAACACCGGUGGCGAAGGCGGGUCUCUGGGCCGUAACUGACGCUGAGGAGCGAAAGCGUGGGAGCGAACAGG